rnacentral:rRNA from 1 species
GUGCUCACAGCGCUGUGGACCCACCCCAUCCCAUGUCGAACUGGGUCGUGAAACGCAGCCGCGCCUAUGGUACUUGGACCGCAGGGUCCCGGGAG